GAUGAACGCUGGCGGCGUGCCUAAUACAUGCAAGUCGAGCGAACGGACGAGAAGCUUGCUUUUCUGAUGUUAGCGGCGGACGGGUGAGUAACACGUGGAUAACCUACCUAUAAGACUGGGAUAACUUCGGGAAACCGGAGCUAAUACCGGAUAAUAUUUUGAACCGCAUGGUUCAAAAGUGAAAGACGGUCUUGCUGUCACUUAUAGAUGGAUCCGCGCUGCAUUAGCUAGUUGGUAAGGUAACGGCUUACCAAGGCAACGAUGCAUAGCCGACCUGAGAGGGUGAUCGGCCACACUGGAACUGAGACACGGUCCAGACUCCGACGGGAGGCAGCAGUAGGGAAUCUUCCGCAAAGGGCGAAAGCCUGACGGAGCAACGCCGCGUGAGUGAUGAAGGUCUUCGGAUCGUAAAACUCUGUUAUUAGGGAAGAACAUAUGUGUAAGUAACUGUGCACAUCUUGACGGUACCUAAUCAGAAAGCCACGGCUAACUACGUG
rnacentral:rRNA from 1 species